rnacentral:rRNA from 1 species
UUAAGCGACUAAGCGUACACGGUGGAUGCCCUGGCAGUCAGAGGCGAUGAAGGACGUGCUAAUCUGCGAAAAGCGUCGGUAAGGUGAUAUGAACCGUUACAGCCGGCGAUGUCCGAAUGGGGAAACCCAGUGCAAUUCGUUGCACUAUCGUUAACUGAAUACAUAGGUUAACGAGGCGAACCGGGGGAACUGAAACAUCUAAGUACCCCGAGGAAAAGAAAUCAACCGAGAUUCCCCCAGUAGCGGCGAGCGAACGGGGAGCAGCCCAGAGUCUGAAUCAGCUUGUGUGUUAGUGGAACGGUCUGGAAAGUCCGACGGUACAGGGUGAUAGUCCCGUACACCAAAAUGCACAGGCUGUGAACUCGAAGAGUAGGGCGGGACACGUGGUAUCCUGUCUGAAUAUGGGGGGACCAUCCUCCAAGGCUAAAUACUCCUGACUGACCGAUAGUGAACCAGUACCGUGAGGGAAAGGCGAAAAGAACCCCGGCGAGGGGAGUGAAAAAGAACCUGAAACCGUGUACGUACAAGCAGUGGGAGCACCUUCGGGUGUGACUGCGUACCUUUUGUAUAAUGGGUCAGCGACUUAUAUUCUGUAGCAAGGUUAACCGUAUAGGGGAGCCGCAGGGAAACCGAGUCUUAACUGGGCGUUAAGUUGCAGGGUAUAGACCCGAAACCCGGUGAUCUAGCCAUGGGCAGGUUGAAGGUUGGGUAACACUAACUGGAGGACCGAACCGACUAAUGUUGAAAAAUUAGCGGAUGACUUGUGGCUGGGGGUGAAAGGCCAAUCAAACCGGGAGAUAGCUGGUUCUCCCCGAAAGCUAUUUAGGUAGCGCCUCGUGAACUCAUCUUCGGGGGUAGAGCACUGUUUCGGCUAGGGGGUCAUCCCGACUUACCAACCCGAUGCAAACUACGAAUACCGAAGAAUGUUAUCACGGGAGACACACGGCGGGUGCUAACGUCCGUCGUGAAGAGGGAAACAACCCAGACCGCCAGCUAAGGUCCCAAAGUCAUGGUUAAGUGGGAAACGAUGUGGGAAGGCACAGACAGCCAGGAUGUUGGCUUAGAAGCAGCCAUCAUUUAAAGAAAGCGUAAUAGCUCACUGGUCGAGUCGGCCUGCGCGGAAGAUGUAACGGGGCUAAACCAUGCACCGAAGCUGCGGCAGCGACACUAUGUGUUGUUGGGUAGGGGAGCGUUCUGUAAGCCUGCGAAGGUGACCUGUGAGGGUUGCUGGAGGUAUCAGAAGUGCGAAUGCUGACAUAAGUAACGAUAAAGCGGGUGAAAAGCCCGCUCGCCGGAAGACCAAGGGUUCCUGUCCAACGUUAAUCGGGGCAGGGUGAGUCGACCCCUAAGGCGAGGCCGAAAGGCGUAGUCGAUGGGAAACAGGUUAAUAUUCCUGUACUUGGUGUUACUGCGAAGGGGGGACGGAGAAGGCUAUGUUAGCCGGGCGACGGUUGUCCCGGUUUAAGCAUGUAGGCUGGUUAUCCAGGCAAAUCCGGAUAAUCAAGGCUGAGGUGUGAUGACGAGGCACUACGGUGCUGAAGUAACAAAUGCCCUGCUUCCAGGAAAAGCCUCUAAGCAUCAGGUAACAUCAAAUCGUACCCCAAACCGACACAGGUGGUCAGGUAGAGAAUACCAAGGCGCUUGAGAGAACUCGGGUGAAGGAACUAGGCAAAAUGGUGCCGUAACUUCGGGAGAAGGCACGCUGGUGUGUAGGUGAAGUCCCUGCGGAUGGAGCUGAGACCAGUCGAAGAUACCAGCUGGCUGCAACUGUUUAUUAAAAACACAGCACUGUGCAAACACGAAAGUGGACGUAUACGGUGUGACGCCUGCCCGGUGCCGGAAGGUUAAUUGAUGGGGUUAUCCGUAAGGAGAAGCUCUUGAUCGAAGCCCCGGUAAACGGCGGCCGUAACUAUAACGGUCCUAAGGUAGCGAAAUUCCUUGUCGGGUAAGUUCCGACCUGCACGAAUGGCGUAAUGAUGGCCAGGCUGUCUCCACCCGAGACUCAGUGAAAUUGAACUCGCUGUGAAGAUGCAGUGUACCCGCGGCAAGACGGAAAGACCCCGUGAACCUUUACUAUAGCUUGACACUGAACAUUGAGCCUUGAUGUGUAGGAUAGGUGGGAGGCUUUGAAGCGUGGACGCCAGUCUGCGUGGAGCCAACCUUGAAAUACCACCCUUUAAUGUUUGAUGUUCUAACGUUGGCCCCUGACCGGGGUUGCGGACAGUGUCUGGUGGGUAGUUUGACUGGGGCGGUCUCCUCCCAAAGCGUAACGGAGGAGCACGAAGGUUAGCUAAUCCUGGUCGGACAUCAGGAGGUUAGUGCAAUGGCAUAAGCUAGCUUGACUGCGAGCGUGACGGCGCGAGCAGGUGCGAAAGCAGGUCAUAGUGAUCCGGUGGUUCUGAAUGGAAGGGCCAUCGCUCAACGGAUAAAAGGUACUCCGGGGAUAACAGGCUGAUACCGCCCAAGAGUUCAUAUCGACGGCGGUGUUUGGCACCUCGAUGUCGGCUCAUCACAUCCUGGGGCUGAAGUAGGUCCCAAGGGUAUGGCUGUUCGCCAUUUAAAGUGGUACGCGAGCUGGGUUUAGAACGUCGUGAGACAGUUCGGUCCCUAUCUGCCGUGGGCGCUGGAGAAUUGAGGGGGGCUGCUCCUAGUACGAGAGGACCGGAGUGGACGCAUCACUGGUGUUCGGGUUGUCAUGCCAAUGGCACUGCCCGGUAGCUAAAUGCGGAAGAGAUAAGUGCUGAAAGCAUCUAAGCACGAAACUUGCCCCGAGAUGAGUUCUCCCUGAGACUUUAAGUCUCCUGAAGGAACGUUAAAGACGAUGACGUUGAUAGGCCGGGUGUGUAAGCGCAGCGAUGCGUUGAGCUAACCGGUACUAAUGAACCGUGAGGCUUAACCU